rnacentral:rRNA from 1 species
GGAAGCAGGGGAUCGUAAGACCUUGCGCUUUUGGAGCGGCCGAUGUCUGAUUAGCUAGUUGGUGGGGUAAUGGCCUACCAAAGCUUCGAUCAGUAGCUGGUCUGAGAGGACGGCCAGCCACACUGGGACUGAGACACGGCCCAGACUCCUACGGGAGGCAGCAGUGGGGAAUUUUGGACAAUGGGCGCAAGCCUGAUCCAGCCAUGCCGCGUGAGUGAAGAAGGCCUUCGGGUUGUAAAGCUCUUUCAGCCGGGAAGAAAAGGCUGCGACUAAUAAUCGCAGUUCAUGACGGUACCGGAAGAAGAAGCACCGGCUAACUACGUGCCAGCAGCCGCGGUAAUACGUAGGGUGCGAGCGUUAAUCGGAAUUACUGGGCGUAAAGGGUGCGCAGGCGGUUUUGUAAGUCAGAUGUGAAAUCCCCGGGCUUAACCUGGGAACUGCGUUUGAAACUACAAAGCUAGA